rnacentral:RNase_P_RNA from 1 species
GAAGUAACGCAGACUGUCGCGUCCGUUUCGGCGGAUGAGGAAAGUCCGGGCACCACAGGGCUGGUUGCUGGGUAACGCCCAGUGCGCGUGAGCGUGAGGAUAGUGCCACAGAAAUGAAGACCGCCUGACUCGUCAGGUAAGGGUGCAACGGUGCGGUAAAAGCGUCACCAGCAAAGUCGAGAGGCUUUGGCUAGGUAAACCCCGCUGAAGGUGCAAGGCGAAGGUAUAGCUCAGAAAUUGGUUGCCCGCCAACCUGAGUUGCCGAAGCUGCUAGAGGGUAUGGGAAACCAUGCUCCCAGAGAGAUGACAGUCUAGAACAGAACCCGGCUUAUGCGUUGCUUCAAUU